rnacentral:lncRNA from 1 species
UGAUUGUUGAAAAUAUUAUUUUAAUAUAAUUUAAUCUGUUAGGUCAUAAGUUUGAUAGCUUAUUUACAGAUAAAUUUGUUAAUAAACGUAAAACUCUUGUUGUGAAACGGGCCUUUAAACAGGCUACCAGGCCAAGCCAGGCUUUCGGAAGGCCCAGGCCAGGCUCGAAAAAAAGCCUUUGAUAGGUCAUAGGCCAGGUUCAGGCCUUAAGAUUUUUUAACAGGCUAGGCCUAUUUAAGCAAAGCCUACCUAGGCCCAGCCUAUUCCCACCCCUA